AGCUGAAAGUUAUAAAGUGGUGGUAUAACUGAUGAGCGCCCCAGGAAGAACCAGUGGCUAACUGAAUGUAAGAUGGAUUGAAUAAAACAGAUCCUGUACAAUACACCUUAAAAAUGGAUCCUGCACGACGAUCCUAGAAAGAAGUCCCAGAGAAAAUCCCCUUGCCACUUACACUUCCAGGACCUUCUUCUCCUAUUCUUUCCUUCUUCGAGGCUCCAGGAGAGAACAGUGCACUGGGGCCUCUUGCCUCGCUGCUUGGAGCUCCUUUGACGGUGGAAUCUUGCCAGCCAUUGAUCCAACACUGGGAGUUAUCGCGGCAGUGCAACUGCAGUCAGGCCUCAGCUCCAGCUUGUAUAAUAUUUCUGAUAAUAAGAGAGCCUAAAUGAAGCAUCCUUUAAAAGGCCUUCACUGUUAAUUUGGCACAGGGAAAAAAGCCAGCACAUUAUACUAGGUUUUCCAGUCAUUCUGCCUGUGCUAUAUGGACUCUUUGAAUAGAUGUCCAUAAUGAGAUUACUCAAAAUGGAAUUCAUUACCUGACUUCGGAUUUAUUGCUUUUUAACUAGAAAUAUAAGGCUACACACACUCUGCUCCCAGCGUUAGUUGUGUGACUGCCCCGCUUCUCCAUUCCAGAAUGGGUACGGGAAAGCAGGGUGAAGAAAAUGCCCAGGAAGCCUGGGGGUCGUGGACAGUAAGAAUGGAGCAAACAAUGUGCUUCAUUAGGACGGGUGCAUUGGAACCCCGGGCCUCUGCUGCUAAGUUCUGCUUCCACAGUCUCACCAUGGGGAUCACAAGCCAGUCACCUCCUCACUAGCAUAAUUGGAAAGACUCUAAGGGGCCCCGAAGUGCUGAAGUGCUGUAAAUUAGCAGCGUUCAAUUCUGAUGAACAUUAAAGGGAGUGUGCAGUUAAUUCCUCCGCACAUGCUGAUCGCAAAGUCUUCCCACUGGGGGCUUUUGGCUUGGAGCGUUACAGGGCCAUUUGUUCUGCAUGGCUUCUCCACCAGGGCAAGGACCUCAAGAAGAGCCGUCCUGUCUUCUUCCUCCUCUUAAGCUUGAGGCUCCUUGGAGAUCAGAUGGAUACGCUUAUUAGACUCUCUAGUGAAUUUUCAUUACUGUCCUGCUGAAGCCUCAAAAUAUAGGACAAUGAGUUCCCCACUUGCUAUUGCCUGGGCCAGGAGCCACUAGAAUUAUCAAUAUGAUGUUUCCAAAUGACACAUUUAUUUUGUGGAAUUUUUGAACAGAGGACCUAAAAUUGCUGAUUUUUGUUGUUUGUUGGUGUGGUUGUUCCUUCUUUGUAACAUAUCACAGAACAGAACUAAGACUCUUAUCUGAAAUA
rnacentral:lncRNA from 1 species